rnacentral:snRNA from 1 species
GUGCUCACUUCGGCAGCAUAUAUACUAAAAUUGGAAUGAAACAAAGAAGAUUAGCAUGGCCCCUGUACAAGGAUGAUAUGCAAAUUCAUGGAGUGUUCCAUAUUUUG